UACGUAGGGGGCAAGCGUUGUCCGGAAUCAUUGGGCGUAAAGAGCGUGUAGGCGGCCCGGUAAGUCCGCUGUGAAAGUCCAGGGCUCAACCCUGGGAUGCCGGUGGAUACUGUCGGGCUCGAGUCCGGAAGAGGAGUGUGGAAUUCCUGGUGUAGCGGUGAAAUGCGCAGAUAUCAGGAGGAACACCUAUAGCGAAGGCAGCUCGCUGGGACGGUACUGACGCUGAGGCGCGAAAGCGUGGGGAGCGAACAGG
rnacentral:rRNA from 1 species